rnacentral:rRNA from 1 species
GUGAGGAAUUUUGCGCAAUGGCCGAAAGGCUGACGCAGCAACGCCGCGUGACCGAUGAAGCUCUAAGGAGUGUAAAGGUCUGUUAGGAGGGACGAACGGGGCCCAGGCGAAUAGGCUGGGCUUGUGACGGUACCUCCAGAGAAAGCGCCGGCUAACUCCGUGCCAGCAGCCGCGGUAAUACGGGGGGCGCAAGCGUUGUCCGGAAUCACUGGGCGUAAAGGGUGUGUAGGCGGGUUGUUAAGUCUAAUGUUUAAUCUGUCGGCUCAACCGGCAAUCGGCAUUGGAAACUGGCAGCCUUGAGUCACGCAGGGGAAGGUGGAAUUCCAGGUGUAGCGGUGAAAUGCGUAGAUAUCUGGAAGAACACCGGAAGCGAAGGCGGCCUUCUGGGCGUUGACUGACGCUGAGACACGAAAGCGUGGGGAGCAAACAGG